AGGACGAACGCUGGCGGCGUGCUUAACACAUGCAAGUCGAACGAUGAAGCCCAGCUUGCUGGGUGGAUUAGUGGCGAACGGGUGAGUAACACGUGAGUAACCCGCCCUUGACUCUGGGAUAAGCACUGGAAACGGUGUCUAAUACCGGAUAUUUCAGCUGGCCGCAUGGUCUGGUUGUGGAAAGAAUUUUUGGUCAAGGAUGGACUCGCGGCCUAUCAGGUAGUUGGGUGAGGGUAAAUGGGCUCACCCAAGCCCUACGACGGGUAGCCGGCCUGAGAGGGUGACCGGCCACACUGGGACUGAGACACGGCCCAGACUCCUACGGGAGGCAGCAGUGGGGAAUAUUGCACAAUGGGCGAAAGCCUGAAUGCAGCAACGCCGCGUGAGGGACGACGGCCUUCGGGUUGUAAACCUCUUUUAGUAGGGAAGAAGCGAAAGUGACGGUACCUGCAGAAAAAGCACCGGCUAACUACGUGCCAGCCGCUGC
rnacentral:rRNA from 1 species